rnacentral:rRNA from 1 species
CCUACGGGAGGCAGCAGUGGGGAAUAUUGCACAAUGGGGGAAACCCUGAUGCAGCAACGCCGCGUGAAGGAAGCAGGUUUUCGGAGUGUAAACUUCUUUUGCCGGGGAGCAACGGGCGCCACGUGUGGCGUCACUGAGAGUACCCGGAGAAAAAGCAUCGGCUAACUCCGUGCCAGCAGCCGCGGUAAUAAGGAGGAUGCGAGCGUUAUCCGGAUUUAUUGGGUUUAACGGGUGCGUAGCAGUAUCGUUAAGUCAGUGGGCAAAUUGAGGGGCGAAACCCCUUCCCGCUAUUGACACUGGCGUUGUUGAGUGGAAGAGAAGUAUGCGGAAUGCGUGGGGUAGCGGUGAAAUGCAUAGAUA